rnacentral:rRNA from 1 species
AAUAGAUACCCGGGUAGUCCACGCCGUAAACGAUGAGUGCUAAGUGUUAGAGGGUUUCCGCCCUUUAGUGCUGCAGCUAACGCAUUAAGCACUCCGCCUGGGGAGUACGGCCGCAAGGCUGAAACUCAAAGGAAUUGACGGGGGGCCCGCACAAGCGGUGGAGCAUGUGGUUUAAUUCGAAGCAACGCGAAGAACCUUACCAGGUCUUGACAUCCUCUGACAACCCUAGAGAUAGGGCGUUCCCCUUCGGGGGGACAGAGUGACAGGUGGUGCAUGGUUGUCAUCAGCUCGCGUCGUGAGAUGUUGGGUUAAGUCCCGCAACGAGCGCAACCCUUAACCUUAGUUGCCAGCAUUCAGUUGGGCACUCUAAGGUGACUGCCGGUGACAAACCGGAGGAAGCUGGGGAUGACGUCAAAUCAUCAUGCCCCUUAUGACCUGGGCUACACACGUGCUACAAUGGAUGGUACGAAAGGGCUGCGAGACCGCGAGGUUAAGCCAAUCCCAUAAAACCAUUCUCAGUUCGGAUUGCAGG